UACGGAGGGUGCUAGCGUUGUUCGGAAUCACUGGGCGUAAAGGGUGCGUAGGCGGGUCUUUAAGUCAGGGGUGAAAUCCUGGAGCUCAACUCCAGAACUGCCUUUGAUACUGAAGAUCUUGAGUUCGGGAGAGGUGAGUGGAACUGCGAGUGUAGAGGUGAAAUUCGUAGAUAUUCGCAAGAACACCAGUGGCGAAGGCGGCUCACUGGCCCGAUACUGACGCUGAGGCACGAAAGCGUGGGGAGCAAACAGG
rnacentral:rRNA from 1 species